CCUACGGGAGGCAGCAGUGGGGAAUAUUGCACAAUGGGCGCAAGCCUGAUGCAGCCAUGCCGCGUGUAUGAAGAAGGCCUUCGGGUUGUAAAGUACUUUCAGCGGGGAGGAAGGUGUUGWGGUUAAUAACCWCAGCAAUUGACGUUACCCGCAGAAGAAGCACCGGCUAACUCCGUGCCAGCAGCCGCGGUAAUACGGAGGGUGCAAGCGUUAAUCGGAAUUACUGGGCGUAAAGCGCACGCAGGCGGUCUGUCAAGUCGGAUGUGAAAUCCCCGGGCUCAACCUGGGAACUGCAUUCGAAACUGGCAGGCUAGAGUCUUGUAGAGGGGGGUAGAAUUCCAGGUGUAGCGGUGAAAUGCGUAGAGAU
rnacentral:rRNA from 1 species